AGGAGAAAAAAAAAAAUUCUUCACAGCCGAUUGCAUCGACUGUCAAACUGAGCUCUAAGUUUGGUGUGGGAGUCUCCGCUGCAUCAAAGUGUUACUUAAGUAAGAGGAAGAGGUUGUGCUGACUCACAGAAGAGCAGCUGGAAAAAUGUUCUCAUACUCACUUCUGCUCCUUCGACUCAGGGCUGUGGAUUUCUGGCAUGACGUGACCGGACUCCAGCCUCAGCUUCUGUGAGAGGGAAGAGGGAGCUGAGUGACUGUUCGCUCAGGACCAAGAUAAGAGAGAAAACAAGGACCCUUGAGUGUGUUGAUCCACCGUCAAAGUGCUGCAGCUCUGGCAGCAGCAGAUGUUUGGGCUGACAUCAAGUGCAACCGCACAACAGGAGCAAUAACAAUUAUGAACACAGUGGUGGAAGAAGAACUCAGGACAAAAUCAGGAGCAGGCCACAACCUCCACCCCCACCUUAGCCUCUGCAGCAGGACUGGCUUUGAUGUUCCAGGUACCAACAACAGGGAGGAUCUGAAGUAAUUCGGUCAGAGACACCUGGGGAUCAGGUUCUUAGACUCCUCUAAGACCUGGGCUCCAAAAUUUACCAAGGCAGUCAGAAGCAUUUCUUAGAGCCUUUGAGUUUUCCCUUUAAAAAAAAAUCAAACCUCAGAUCUUCAUCAGAUCUAACACGGUGCAAAUAACAAUUUUUUUCAUUGUCAAUUAACCUGAUUCAUUGUUUGGUCUGUAAAACAUUAGAAAACAGAGAAAAAAAAAUCAAAUUCUCACAUUCAAGAUCCAUUUUUGGUAUUUUUGCUUGAAAAAUGACUCGAAGUGAGAGCUCGAUUAUCAGAACUGUUCCUGAUUACUUUUCUGUCACUCAGCUAUCAGGAGAGGAUGACCCCCCUCUGGUCUUCCUCCUGUGAUGCUGUGAUGCUAAAUUUACGAACUGAGCCUCAGAUCUUCCCAGCAGCUCUCCAACAUGCUCAGACAUUCAGUGAAUGGCGGCUUCACUCUGUUUCUCAGAGCUUCUUCCUUCAGGUCCUGUCCACAGUGGAAGUUGGGACCAGCUUUGGCAGCUCAUGGUAGACGAGUGGUUGCCACCAAACCUCAGAUUUAAACAUUUAUUUCUUUUAUUUUUUUGAAAAUAUUGGUCUAGUCUGACAGUCUCACUGUUGGUGAAGUAGGAUGCAUGUGUGUGCGUGUUGCUGCUGACACACACACACACACACCAUAGGAUUUUAACACCUCCUACUUCACUCUGUGCAGCAGGCAGAGCUGUUACCUAGUUACAGGCAAGAGACUGUGCGACCUGCGCUUCAGUGCGGAGCUGGUGACUUUCAGCGCAUCAGUCAGUCCGCGAACAGACGGAGGCGAAACUCGCCGAGAAACACCCACGGACGAGCGGAGCGGACUGUUUCACUGGCUGAGGAUGAAGAUAAAAACGCAUCCCGGCGGCGAAUAGACCGAGGUGCCGCCGCUCUUCUCGCGUUGUUUCACAAUUAAAUCCCAAAUCCUGCCGGACGAGAACGGGGCUUGGGAAGAUCGCGGCUCGGAGAAAGUCUCAGCACUCAGGUGAGUUUGAAGAGUAUGUCUGCAGGUGUUUGGUUAUUUUUGCGCACUGAUAUUAAUUUAAUCCACCAGACUUUUUUCUUUUUUUCACCGUGACUGUGAAACAGCAGCGGCGGUGUUGCCACCGUCUCACCUCACCUGUGCGUCCAGAGCGUGUAGAAGGUUUUUAACAAAACCUGAACUUAACCCACCUGAAACAAAACCCGGACCUGAAACACGGUGGCCCUGAAAUGUCCUAACUACUGCCAGGGGCGGGGUUAGAAACUUUUCAGCUGGGGGGGCAUUUGUAUGAUGAGUAAAAAUAUGUUAGGACUCAUUUAAAGCUUCAAGUCUGACCGAUAAUAAACUGGCAUUCUGUGUUUUUAUGGACAUUUUGCACUUUUUGGUGGUAGUUUUGCAUCUCUGUAGUCAUUUUUACAUCUGCAUCUCUUUGCAGUUGUUUUGUGUCUCUUAAGAUCCAAAGUAGAAUUUAUUCUCCCUAAAUAAGAAGCUGAACAUGUGCUUUAUUCAGAGAGACAGACUGAUGCUCAUUUCCAUACCAGGAAAAUUCACCAUGCUGUCAAACUAAAAAAAAAAAUUGGCAUAGAAAACCUAAUCUGUCUGUGUGAGUGUGUGUGUGUGUUGUGUGAGUGUGUGUUGUGUGAGUGGGCAUGCAUAUAUUAUAAUAAACUGAGACAUUAAAUAAUUAGUUUUAGUUCAUGUUGACGAUUUCUAAUGAGCAGAUCAGGUUUUAACAUCUUUCUGUUUUUUUUUUUUCUUUUUCAACUGUAUGUAAUUGUUAUUUCCAGGCAAAAAAAAAAGUAGGUUGACAUGAAGGAACAGAAUCUUAUAAUGACACAUGAUGGGUUACACCUUAAAUAUGCACAUAUACAGUACAUCAUCCAUUUUUUAAAAUACAGUAUUUUACACGUUUUCAUUAACCUCGAUUAAUUGUUGGGUCUUUAAAACAUCAGAGAACAGUGAAAACUGCCUGUCACAGUAAUGCUUCCUCAUAAAAAACACUUGAACAAAGCAACAUCAGCAGUCCAAACAAAAUAAAUACAAUACAAAAAAAGUAUUAAUAUUUUUACUAGAACACUGUGACCAGUUUAAUUCAAAUUUAUUUGUUAUCAUUCAUUUACACGUGUGAACUGUGAACCACCAUGUCUUGUUCUGAGAAUCGUAUCCUAAUUUUUUUUUUUUAACAGUCACUUCAGUUUGUGAGAGAAAACACACUUUUUUUUCCUGUAAAAAUUUUUCCCACUGUGUUUAUGACAGUGCGAGUGUGAUUACCAAGUGACAUGAUCUGUUCAGUUCAGAGGAGCAAAACAUCGUCUGCUCAAUCUGCUGCAUCUUUAUACUGCAUUUUA